CCCUUAGAUGUCCGGGGCUGCACGCGCGCUACACUGAAGGAAUCAGCGUGCUAGAAAACCUUGUUUGACAUGGCUAGGUAACCCGUUGAAAAUCUUUCGUGAUUGGGAUCGGGACUUGCAAAUGUGUCCCUUGAACGAGGAAUUCCCAGUAAGUGCGGGUCAUAAGCUCGCGCUGAUUACGUCCCUGCCCUUGUACACACCGCCCGUCGCUGCCCGGAACUGAGCCGUUUCGAGAAGACUGGGGACUGCGAACUUUGGGCUGGAAAACAGCUUUUUGUUUGUGGAAACCACUUUAAUCGCAGCGGCUUGAACCGGGCAAAAGUCGUAACA
rnacentral:rRNA from 1 species